UGCCCUAACGCUUAUUUUAUAAGUUUGUUUACAAACGGAAAACAAUUAAAAAUAUGAGUUUACAACCAAUUGGAGUUACUUAACACAAUAAGUAAAUGCAUAAAUAUUCGUUUGAUGUUGCUGACCGCUUGGUGCCUGUGCCUGUGCCUGUGGGUGUUGCUACGUUAAUUCACUUAAAGCAUGUGGGGGGCCACCCAGUCUGCAUCCAUCUGACUGCCGCUGUGCCGAGUCAUGUGCAUUCAAUUCCAACUGCAGGUCAAGUGGCCGCCAAAGCAAAAGCCGCAACGUGAGAAUCCGAACUAAACGAAAUCCCUCGUUCUCUUUUCGCUGCUUUUGCUCUUUUUAGCACACUUUGAGCUGCGUCUGCGCCGGCUGUUGGUACUGGGAGCGUGUGGGUGAGUGGAGUGGGUGCCAAUCCGCCGAACCUCUGAGUGCCGGUGUUUUACUGCAACUUUUGGGCCUUAGCCUAGCCAUGGCCUCGCCGGAUUCUUCGUUUGGCUGGAAUUUGCGGCAUUUGUUCAAGGUGGCAGCCGCGUCGUCUUUGUUCGCUUGGAGCAUGCAAAUCUGUCAACAAAUUGCCGGCGAUUAGGCGCCACCCAACACCACCAACAGGAGGAGGAGGAGGCGGUGGAGUGGGUGGUAGACCGUCCCACGCGGGAAUCAUAUGCCGCCUAGAGAUAGAGAAAUGCCGGCCAGUUUUGUCGGUCAACAAUUUAGACAUAAUUUGAAAGCGUCGCCUCGUUUCAGUCCACACGCAAAGCGUGGUCCUCGCUUACGCAAUGGCCACAUGUCAAAUUAUGCAUAAUGGGAGCGCCAGGAGUGGAGUGGUGUCAGGUGGAAUGGAGCCAGGUGGGUGGGCUCAGAUAAAACUCACAGCCCAGAUGGCAGCCAAAGUACGUCUGAAAUAUGUCCUGUGUGCCACAACAUUAUGCAGAUGCUUCAACACCCAACGACCCAUUCCCAUUCCCAUGCCCAUCCAGCUUUUGAUGAACUGCCCCACUGAUGGAUGGUUUUUAGUGGAUUUGCAGUCCUGGUCUCCAGCCAGACAUAUGGAUGGGUAAGUGUGUGCGUGACUUA